CCUACGGGUGGCAGCAGUCGAGAAUUUUUGGCAAUGGGCGAAAGCCUGACCAAGCGAUGCCGCGUGCGGGAUGAAGGCCUUCGGGUUGUAAACCGCUGUCAGUGGGGAGGAAAGCUUUGUGAAGAGCAAGGCUUGACCUAUCCGCAGAGGAAGUGUGGGCUAAGUUCGUGCCAGCAGCCGCGGUAAGACGAACCACACAAACGAAAUUCGGAAUUUCUGGGGUUAAUGGGUGACUAGGCUGGGUAGGAGUGAAAUACCUCGGCUCAACCGAGGAACUGCGCCCAAAACUACUGUGCUUGAGGAAGAUAGAGGUAAGCGGAACUUACGGUGGAGCGGUGAAAUGCGUUGAUAUCGUAAGGAACACCUGUGGCGAAAGCGGCUUACUGGGUCUUUUCUGACGCUGAUGCACGAAAGCUAGGGGAGCAAACGGGAUUAGAUACCCGUGUAGUC
rnacentral:rRNA from 1 species